rnacentral:tRNA from 1 species
GUUUCCAUAGUGUAGUGGUUAUCACGUUCGCCUCACACGCAAAAGGUCCCCAGUUCGAAACUGGGUGGAAACA